AAAAAAAACCCCAUCCAAUCAAAACUCAAAAAAUGUUACCAUUUUCUUUCACAACCAUCUGUUCUACCUUCUCCGAUCCUCAUCUAAACAACCAUGGCCACCCUCACAAGCUCCACAAUAAUUCCCUUCCACCCCCAAAUCUCCAUUAACAAAACCCAUCCUCCUCGCCAAUGGCGCUCAUCAUCACUCCCCAAAACCCAAGCCAAAUUGCCCGAACAACAUCAUCAAAAUCGAAGAAAUCUGGUCACUGCUCUUGUAGCCACUUCCCUGACACUGGGCCUGAAUUUGACCCCACUGGCAUUUGCCCAGAACUGGGGAACCCGGUCGUUUCUGAGGGAGAGAUUCUUCGAGCCGGGGUUGUCGCCGGAAGACGCGGUGGCCAGGAUUCGCCAAACCGCGGAGGGACUUCACGGCAUUGAAAACAUGCUGGAGAAGAUGUCGUGGAAAUAUGUUUUGUUCUAUUUGCGACAGAAAGCCGCUUAUCUUUCCCAGGAUAUGAAGACUGCAAUGUCCAUGGUGCCUCAGGGCAGACAAGCCUCCUAUGUUAACACGGCCAAUCAACUUGUCGAUAACAUUUCCGAGUUUGAUUAUUACGUUAGAACCCCAAAGGUGUUUGAGUCCAUGGUGUACUACAAGAAGACCCUGAAAUCAAUUGAUGAGCUCGUGGCACUUCUAGCAUAAUAUAAUUUUUUCAUUGUAAAAAUAGAGAUACUCAUGGUAUAUGUAUCAGUAGUGGCUGAUGAUUUAAUUUCUCUCGUCACUCAAGGAAAAAAAAAGUGAUAUAGAUAAUGAAACGUGACAAUUCAUUCCCAGAAUACACACAAUUCAAGUAGCAUAUAUAAGAUGGAAGCACACAAUGCAAUGCAAUAUAUUGAUUGGCAUUUUUGGAUGGGAGUAGUAAUAAUUAAUGGCUCCUGGCUAGAGCUAUGGCUGAUAAAAGCACAAGAAGAAGGAGAGCUACGACGGCGCCGAAGGAUCCAAUUAAGGAGCCGGAAGAGCUCUGGCAGAAAUCUGGAUAUUGUUGGCAUAUUGAGAACCAGUUUGUGGAUGAAUUCCCAUAAUGUGCCAAGUAAACCACCGCAGCCGCCGCGGAUGCCGCGCCGGUCAGAGCCCCCAACAUCACCUUCAAUAUAAUAUGCAAAUAUAUAUUUAGAUAGAUUAUGAUGGAGUAAUUAAGAGUGAGAUUACACAUUUAUUAUAGAUAUUAUAUAUGUUGGUUAAUAUA